UUUUAAAAUUAAUGCAACAGACGUCUGUCAAAAUCUGUGGUCAAAGUGAAGGUUACAGUUAAGUUAGCCUUAACUAUAACCAUAACUUUGACCAUAACUGUAACUAUAACCACGCCUCUGGUGUAACCCACCCAUAUAGUUAACUUUUUCACGGCAGGUAAUAGAAGCUCACACUGAGCACAUAUCCAAUGUAAUCUCUUGUGAAAGACAUUAAGAUCGAUUUUAAUGUUUCUUUUUUAGUCACUAAUUUAUUCAAACUUUAUUUUUUUAAUUUACAAAAUAAAAUCAAACCUUAAUACCACUUUGAUGUUUCUUGUUCUGGU